rnacentral:rRNA from 1 species
UUUAAAGUCUAACCUGCCCAAUGAGGAUUUGAAUGGCCGCGGUAAUUUGACCGUGCAAAGGUAGCAUAAUCAUUAGUUUUUUAAUUGAAAGCUGGUAUGAACGGUUGGACGAGAAAAUAACUGUCUCAAUUUAAUUGUAUGUAGAAUUUUAUUUAUAAGUAAAAAAGCUUAUAUAAUUUUAAAAGACGAGAAGACCCUAUAGAGUUUUAUAAUUUUUUAUAUUAAUUAGGUUUAGUAUGUUUAUAUUUUUGAUAUAAAAAAUUAUUUUGCUGGGGCAGCAGAAAAAUUUAUUAAACUUUUUUUAAUUGUUUAACAUUGAUUUAUGAUUUAAUGAUCCAUUUUUUAUGAUUACAAGAUUAAAUUACCUUAGGGAUAACAGCGUAAUUUUUUUUUAGAGUUCUUAUCGAAAAAAGAGUUUGCGACCUCGAUGUUGGAUUAAAAUUAACUUUUGGUGCAGGGGCUAAAAGGUUAGGUCUGUUCGACCUUUAAAAUUUUACAUGAUCUGAGUUUAAACCGGCGUGAGCCAGGUUGGUUUCUAUCUUUAAAUAACUUGGAUACCUUAGUACGAAAGGAUUAGGUAUUUUUAAAAUUUAAUAUAUUUUGAAUGGGAAUAAUUA